rnacentral:rRNA from 1 species
AGGGUUUGAUUAUGGCUCAGGACGAACGCUGGCGGCGCGCCUAACACAUGCAAGUCGAACGAGCGAGAGAGAGCUUGCUUUCUCGAGCGAGUGGCGAACGGGUGAGUAACGCGUGAGGAACCUGCCUCAAAGAGGGGGACAACAGUUGGAAACGACUGCUAAUACCGCAUAAGCCCACAGGUCGGCAUCGACCAGAGGGAAAAGGAGCAAUCCGCUUUGAGAUGGCCUCGCGUCUGAUUAGCCAGUUGGCAGGGUAACGGCCUACCAAAGCGACGAUCAGUAGCCGACCUGAGAGGGUGACCGGCCACAUUGGGACUGAGACACGGCCCAA